rnacentral:rRNA from 1 species
CGGUCCGAUCAAGCGUCUUGAAGAGCAUUUGGUGGAUGCCUUGGUACAGAGAGGCGAUGAAGGACGUGACACGCUGCGAUAAGCUGUGGGGAGCCGUGAGUAGGCUUUGAUCCGCAGAUUUCCGAAUGGGGAAACCCAAACCAUUUUGGUUUAUCCCGCAAGGAGGCAAACCCAGCGAACUGAAAUAUCUAAGUAGCUGGAGGAAAGGACAUCAACCGAGACUCCGUUAGUAGUGACGAGCGAACGCGGACCAGGCCAGUGGCCAAUUUGAAGAUAACCGGAAUAACCUGGAAAGGUUAGCCAUAGUAUGUGAUACCCCGUACGGGUAAUGCUUCAUUUUGGUCCUUGAGUAGGGCGGGACACGAGAAAUCCUGCUUGAACAUGGGGGGACCACCCUCCAAGCCUAAGUACUACUCUGUGACCGAUAGCGAACAAGUACCGUGAGGGAAAGGUGAAAAGAACCCCUAUGAGGGGAGUGAAACAGACCUGAAACCGAAUGCUUACAAACAGUAGGAGCAACAUUAAGUUGUGACUGCGUACCUUUUGUAUAAUGGGUCAGCGAGUUAAUUUAUUGAGCAAGCUUAAGCCGUUAGGUGUAGGCGAAGCGAAAGCGAGUAUGAAUAGUGCGUUUUAGUUCGAUGGAUUAGACCCGAAACCGGGUGAUCUAGCUAUGGGCAGGUUGAAGGUGCGGUAACACGUAUUGGAGGACCGAACCCACUUCUGUUGAAAAAGGAGGGGAUGACCUGUGGCUAGGGGUGAAAGGCCAAUCAAACCCGGAGAUAGCUGGUUCUUUGCGAAAACUAUUUAGGUAGUGCGUUAGAUAUUACUGCUGGGGGUAGAGCACUGGAUGGGCUAGGGGGGCGCGAGCCUUACCAAACCUAACCAAACUCCGAAUACCAGUAAGUACAGUCUAGCAGACAGACUAUGGGUGCUAAGGUCCAUAGUCGAGAGGGAAACAGCCCAGACCACCAGCUAAGGUCCCCAAGUUAUGGUUAAGUGGGAAAGGAUGUGGGAAGGCCAAGACAGCCAGGAGGUUGGCUUAGAAGCAGCCAUCCUUUAAAGAUAGCGUAACAGCUCACUGGUCUAGUUAAGCCGGCCUGCGCCGAAGAUGUAACGGGGCUAAAACCAUACACCGAAGCUGUGGACACGCGUAAGCGUGUGGUAGCAAAGCGUUCCGUAAGCCUGUGAAGCAUAACCGUGAGGUGUGUGGAGGUAUCGGAAGUGAGAAUGCUGACAUGAGUAGCGAUAAAGAGUGUGAGAAACACUCUCGCCGUAAGCCCAAGGGUUCCUGCGCAAGGCUAAUCCGCGCAGGGUGAGUCGGCCCCUAAGACGAGGGCGAAAGCCGUAGUCGAUGGGAACACGGUUAAUAUUCCGUGACCUGAUGGUAGUGACGGAUGACGUAAGUUGUACAUGCUUAUCGGAUUGUGUGUGCAGCGAAGUUGUCCCAGGAAAUAGCUCCAUCAUUAAGACCGUACCCGAAACCGACACAGGUGGGCAGGUUGAGUAUACCAAGGCGCUUGAGAGAACGAUGUUGAAGGAACUCGGCAAAAUGCCCCCGUAACUUCGGGAUAAGGGGGACCUCUGUUUGGGCAACCAGACAGGGGUGGCACAGAAUAGGGGGUGGCGACUGUUUAUUAAAAACACAGGGCUCUGCGAAGUAGUUAAUACGACGUAUAGGGUCUGACGCCUGCCCGGUGCUGGAAGGUUAAGAGGAGGUGUGAGAGCUCCGAAUUGAAGCCCCAGUAAACGGCGGCCGUAACUAUAACGGUCCUAAGGUA